GACGAACGCUGGCGGCGUGCUUAACACAUGCAAGUCGAACGGAAAGGCCCUGCUUUUGUGGGGUGCUCGAGUGGCGAACGGGUGAGUAACACGUGAGUAACCUGCCCUUGACUUUGGGAUAACUUCAGGAAACUGGGGCUAAUACCGGAUAGGAGCUCCUGCUGCAUGGUGGGGGUUGGAAAGUUUCGGCGGUUGGGGAUGGACUCGCGGCUUAUCAGCUUGUUGGUGGGGUAGUGGCUUACCAAGGCUUUGACGGGUAGCCGGCCUGAGUGGGUGACCGGCCACAUUGGGACUGAGAUACGGCCCAGACUCCUACGGGAGGCAGCAGUGGGGAAUAUUGCACAAUGGGCGGAAGCCUGAUGCAGCAACGCCACGUGCGGGAUGACGGCCUUCGGGUUGUAAACCGCUUUCGCCUGUGACGAAGCGUGAGUGACGGUAAUGGGUAAAGAAGCACCGGCUAACUACGUG
rnacentral:rRNA from 1 species